rnacentral:rRNA from 1 species
UACGAAGGGGGCUAGCGUUGUUCGGAAUCACUGGGCGUAAAGGGCGCGUAGGCGGCUUUAUAAGUCGGGGGUGAAAGCCUGUGGCUCAACCACAGAAUUGCCUUCGAUACUGAAGAUCUUGAGUUCGGGAGAGGUGAGUGGAACUGCGAGUGUAGAGGUGAAAUUCGUAGAUAUUCGCAAGAACACCAGUGGCGAAGGCGGCUCACUGGCCCGAUACUGACGCUGAGGCACGAAAGCGUGGGGAGCAAACAGG